rnacentral:misc_RNA from 1 species
GAAAUGCGAUAAGUAAUGUGAAUUGCAGAAUUCAGUGAAUCAUCGAAUCUUUGAACGCACCUUGCGGCCGCCGGCAAUCCGGCGGCCAUGUCCGUCCGAGCGUCGUUUCGACCCUCGGGACCCCUUUCUCCCUCUCGUAGGGGGGGCGGGGCCCCGGCUUUGGGCCAGCGCGCGCCGCCUCCUGGCACGCGCGGCCCGCAGACCAUCGGCGGCAGCGCCCGCGACGUCCCCUGCGCAGUAGAUAAAGCUCGCAUCGGACUCCUGGCGCCGCCCGCCAUCGGCGGUCCCCAGCGGCCCCGAAACCCAUAGCACAACAGGUCGACCUCGGAUCGGGUAGGGAUACCCGCUAAACUUAA